CCUACGGGAGGCAGCAGUGGGGAAUAUUGCACAAUGGGCGCAAGCCUGAUGCAGCGACGCCGCGUGAGGGAUGGAGGCCUUCGGGUUGUAAACCUCUUUUGUUAGGGAGCAAGGCACUUUGUGUUGAGUGUACCUUUCGAAUAAGCACCGGCUAACUACGUGCCAGCAGCCGCGGUAAUACGUAGGGUGCAAGCGUUAUCCGGAAUUAUUGGGCGUAAAGGGCUCGUAGGCGGUUCGUCGCGUCCGGUGUGAAAGUCCAUCGCUUAACGGUGGAUCCGCGCCGGGUACGGGCGGGCUUGAGUGCGGUAGGGGAGACUGGAAUUCCCGGUGUAACGGUGGAAUGUGUAGAUAUCGGGAAGAACACCAAUGGCGAAGGCAGGUCUCUGGGCCGUUACUGACGCUGAGGAGCGAAAGCGUGGGGAGCGAACAGGAUUAGAUACCCUGGUAGUCCACGCCGUAAACGGUGGAUGCUGGAUGUGGGGCCCGUUCCACGGGUUCCGUGUCGGAGCUAACGCGUUAAGCAUCCCGCCUGGGGAGUACGGCCGCAAGGCUAAAACUCAAAGAAAUUGACGGGGGCCCGCACAAGCGGCGGAGCAUGCGGAUUAAUUCGAUGCAACGCGAAGAACCUUACCUGGGCUUGACAUGUUCCCGACGAUCCCAGAGAUGGGGUUUCCCUUCGGGGCGGGUUCACAGGUGGUGCAUGGUCGUCGUCAGCUCGUGUCGUGAGAUGUUGGGUUAAGUCCCGCAACGAGCGCAACCCU
rnacentral:rRNA from 1 species